rnacentral:rRNA from 1 species
UACGUAGGGUGCGAGCGUUGUCCGGAAUUAUUGGGCGUGAAGAGCUCGUAGGCGGUUUGUCACGUCUGCUGUGAAAUCCCGAGGCUCAACCUCGGGCCUGCAGUGGGUACGGGCAGACUGGAGUGCGGUAGGGGAGAAUGGAAUUCCUGGUGUAGCGGUGGAAUGCGCAGAUAUCAGGAGGAACACCGAUGGCGAAGGCAGUUCUCUGGGCCGUAACUGACGCUGAGGAGCGAAAGCGUGGGGAGCGAACAGG